UACGAGGGGGGCAAGCGUUGUUCGGAAUUAUUGGGCGUAAAGGGCGCGUAGGCGGUUUGACAAGUCUGAUGUGAAAUCUCUGGGCUCAACCCAGAGUCUGCAUUAGAAACUGUCGGGCUUGAGUAUGGGAGAGGUGAGUGGAAUUUCCGGUGUAGCGGUGAAAUGCGUAGAUAUCGGAAGGAACACCUGUGGCGAAAGCGGCUCACUGGACCAUAACUGACGCUGAGGCGCGAAAAGCUAGGGGAGCAAACAGG
rnacentral:rRNA from 1 species